UACGGAGGGGCUAGCGUUGUUCGGAAUUACUGGGCGUAAAGCGUGCGCAGGCGGUUUGUAAGUCUGACGUGAAAUCCCCGGGCUCAACCUGGGAAUUGCGUUGGAGACUGCAAGGCUAGAAUCUGGCAGAGGGGGUAGAAUUCCACGUGUAGCAGUGAAAUGCGUAGAGAUGUGGAGGAACACCGAUGGCGAAGGCAGCCCCUGGGUCAAGAUUGAC
rnacentral:rRNA from 1 species